GUGUUUGCUUCAGCAGCACAUAUACUAAAAUUGGAAUGAUACAGAAAAGAUUGGCAUGGCCCCUGCGCAAGGAUGACACACAAAUUUAUGAAGUGUUCCAUAUUUAA
rnacentral:snRNA from 1 species